UAUUAACCUUUCAGGUAAUUUCCAGCCUUAGACGGAUCGGGGCUACGAGGGGCUCGGAGGAAGCCACACACACUAUUUAUGUUAUAGUUUUGAUUAUUGCUUUUAAAUGUUUUUAUGUGGGUUGUUGUAAAGCCGUUGUAAUUUUCUGGAUUUCAAAUUUGGAAUUUUAUUUAUUGUUCUUAUAAUUGCUAGUAUUAGAACAUGGUUUUCCAAAGCAACUACUGUUGUUCAAAACAUCACGUAACCG
rnacentral:lncRNA from 1 species